rnacentral:rRNA from 1 species
UACAGAGGGUGCGAGCGUUAAUCGGAAUUACUGGGCGUAAAGCGCGCGUAGGCGGCUUUGCAAGUCGGGCGUGAAAUCCCCAGGCUUAACCUGGGAACUGCAUUCGAGACUGCAUUGCUAGAGUAUGGGAGAGGGAAGUGGAAUUUCAGGUGUAGCGGUGAAAUGCGUAGAUAUCUGAAGGAACAUCAGUGGCGAAAGCGACUUCCUGGACCAAUACUGACGCUCAUGUGCGAAAGCGUGGGGAGCAAACAGG